rnacentral:rRNA from 1 species
UACGUAGGGGGCAAGCGUUGUCCGGAUUUAUUGGGCGUAAAGAGCGUGUAGGCGGUCAGGUAGGUCCGUUGUGAAAACUCGAGGCUCAACCUCGAGACGCCGAUGGAAACCAUCUGACUAGAGUCCGGAAGAGGAGAGUGGAAUUCCUGGUGUAGCGGUGAAAUGCGCAGAUAUCGGGAAGAACACCCGUGGCGAAGGCGGUUCUCUGGGACGGUACUGACGCUGAGACGCGAAAGCGUGGGGAGCGAACAGG